AUCCCAUCUUUUGGGAUCCUCCUGCCCAUGUUAACCCCAAUGGGGCAAUUUUGGGAUUCUCCUGGCCCUGCUGACCCCAUCUCCCAUCUUUUGGGGUUCUCCUGGCCCUGCUGACCCCAUACCCCAUCCUUUGGGCUCCUCCUGGCCAUGGUGGCCCCAAUAGGAUCUUUUUGGGCUCCUCCUGGCCCUGCUGACCCCAUAUCCCAUCCUUUGGGGUUCUCUUGGCCAUGGUGGCCCCAAUAGGAUCUUUUUGGGCUCCUCCUGGCCAUGGUGGCCCCAAUAGGAUCUUUUUGGGCUCCUGCUGACCCCUUUGCCCCCCCCUUUGCCCCCCUUUGCCCCCAGGCUGUCCAACGUGGUGGAGACGCCGCGCAUCGUGCGCAAGCUGUCGUGGGUGGAGAACCUUUGGCCGGGGGAAUCGGCGCGCGAGCGGCCGAGCCUGCAGAAGUUCUGCCUGCUGGGGGCCAGGGACAGCUUCACCGACUUCCACAUCGACAGGGGGGGGGCCUCGGCCUGGUGCCACGUCCUCAGGGUACGGGGGGGGCGGUUGUGGGGCUGCGCGGGGCGGUUAUGGGGCUGUGUGGGGUGGUUAUGGGGCUGCGC
rnacentral:lncRNA from 1 species